UCAAGUGAAGAAGCGCAUACGGUGGAUGCCUUGGCAGUCAGAGGCGAUGAAAGACGUGGUAGCCUGCGAAAAGCUUCGGGGAGUCGGCAAACAGACUGUGAUCCGGAGAUGUCUGAAUGGGGGAACCCAGCCAUCAUAAGAUGGUUAUCUUGUACUGAAUACAUAGGUGCAAGAAGCGAACCAGGGGAACUGAAACAUCUAAGUACCCUGAGGAAAAGAAAUCAACCGAGAUUCCCUUAGUAGUGGCGAGCGAACGGGGACCAGCCCUUAAGUUGUAUUGAGAUUAGCGGAACGUUCUGGAAAGGACGGCCAUAGUGGGUGAUAGCCCUGUACGCGAAAAUCCCUUUGCAAUGAAAUCGAGUAGGACGGGGCACGAGAAACCUUGUCUGAAUAUGGGGGGACCAUCCUCCAAGGCUAAAUACUACUGACUGACCGAUAGUGAACCAGUACCGUGAGGGAAAGGCGAAAAGAACCGCGGAGAGCGGAGUGAAAUAGAUCCUGAAACCGUAUGCGUACAAGCAGUGGGAGCCCACUUUGUUGGGUGACUGCGUACCUUUUGUAUAAUGGGUCAGCGACUUAUUUUCAGUGGCGAGCUUAACCGAAUAGGGGAGGCGUAGCGAAAGCGAGUCUUAAUAGGGCGUCUAGUCGCUGGGAAUAGACCCGAAACCGGGCGAUCUAUCCAUGGGCAGGUUGAAGGUUGGGUAACACUAACUGGAGGACCGAACCGACUACCGUUGAAAAGUUAGCGGAUGACCUGUGGAUCGGAGUGAAAGGCUAAUCAAGCUCGGAGAUAGCUGGUUCUCCUCGAAAGCUAUUUAGGUAGCGCCUCAUGUAUCACUGUAGGGGGUAGAGCACUGUUUCGGCUAGGGGGUCAUCCCGACUUACCAAACCGAUGCAAACUCCGAAUACCUACAAGUGCCGAGCAUGGGAGACACACGGCGGGUGCUAACGUCCGUCGUGAAAAGGGAAACAACCCAGACCGUCAGCUAAGGUCCCAAAGUCAUGGUUAAGUGGGAAACGAUGUGGGAAGGCUUAGACAGCUAGGAGGUUGGCUUAGAAGCAGCCACCCUUUAAAGAAAGCGUAAUAGCUCACUAGUCGAGUCGGCCUGCGCGGAAGAUGUAACGGGGCUCAAACCAUGCACCGAAGCUACGGGUAUCAUCUUUUGAUGAUGCGGUAGAGGAGCGUUCUGUAAGCCUGUGAAGGUGAGUUGAGAAGCUUGCUGGAGGUAUCAGAAGUGCGAAUGCUGACAUGAGUAACGACAAUGGGUGUGAAAAACACCCACGCCGAAAGACCAAGGUUUCCUGCGCAACGUUAAUCGACGCAGGGUUAGUCGGUCCCUAAGGCGAGGCUGAAAAGCGUAGUCGAUGGAAAACAGGUUAAUAUUCCUGUACUUCUGGUUAUUGCGAUGGAGGGACGGAGAAGGCUAGGCCAGCCUGGCGUUGGUUGUCCAGGUUUAAGGUGGUAGGCUGAGAUCUUAGGUAAAUCCGGGAUCUCAAGGCCGAGAGCUGAUGACGAGUGUUCUUUAGAACACGAAGUGGUUGAUGCCAUGCUUCCAAGAAAAGCUUCUAAGCUUCAGGUAACCAGGAACCGUACCCCAAACCGACACAGGUGGUUGGGUAGAGAAUACCAAGGCGCUUGAGAGAACUCGGGUGAAGGAACUAGGCAAAAUGGCACCGUAACUUCGGGAGAAGGUGCGCCGGUGAGGGUGAAGCAUUUACUGCGUAAGCCCACGCCGGUCGAAGAUACCAGGCCGCUGCGACUGUUUAUUAAAAACACAGCACUCUGCAAACACGAAAGUGGACGUAUAGGGUGUGACGCCUGCCCGGUGCCGGAAGGUUAAUUGAUGGGGUUAGCGCAAGCGAAGCUCUUGAUCGAAGCCCCGGUAAACGGCGGCCGUAACUAUAACGGUCCUAAGGUAGCGAAAUUCCUUGUCGGGUAAGUUCCGACCUGCACGAAUGGCGUAACGAUGGCGGCGCUGUCUCCACCCGAGACUCAGUGAAAUUGAAAUCGCUGUGAAGAUGCAGUGUAUCCGCGGCUAGACGGAAAGACCCCGUGAACCUUUACUAUAGCUUUGCACUGGACUUUGAAUUUGCUUGUGUAGGAUAGGUGGGAGGCUUUGAAGCGUGGACGCCAGUCUGCGUGGAGCCAACCUUGAAAUACCACCCUGGCAACUUUGAGGUUCUAACUCAGGUCCGUUAUCCGGAUCGAGGACAGUGUAUGGUGGGUAGUUUGACUGGGGCGGUCUCCUCCUAAAGAGUAACGGAGGAGUACGAAGGUGCGCUCAGAC
rnacentral:rRNA from 1 species